rnacentral:sRNA from 1 species
GGAACUCGACUGCCUCUUCAACGGUUUCAAUCG